CUCAAUCUCGUCCUCUCAUCAUCUCUGACCUCUCUCUCCCUCAACUCUCAUCAUCUCUCAACCUCUCUCUCGACCUUGUUUUCAUUAUUUUGAAUCUAAUCCACCUCAAACUCACAUCAUCUCUCCAUCGCUCACAUUAGCCUCACGACACUAACCAAGAAAUGCACAAAUCCAAGGUUUCAAAAGAGAAUCGAGUAAAAAUUCUCACCUCCGGCGGUGACGACGGCGACGGCGAAGCCUGGACCUUCCUUCUCCGCCUCUUACUCGAGGUUUCUUUUCGCCGUUUUAGGAUUAGGGUCUUUUUUCGUCUCUCGUCCGCCUUCGAAUUUAGGGUUUCUCCUUCUCCUGAAAUCGCCGCCUCCCUCACUGUAUCCGCCCCUCCUCUCUUAUACUCACUAUGUUAGGGUUUUUAGUUGUCCCAAAGAGAUCCAAAGGGGUAUCUUCUGUGUUGCUUUAAGGCGUCCAGACUUUGGUCUGUCUCAUUUGAUACUACGAUCUGGAAACGGUAAUACUAUCUACGCAUUUUCUUAAUCUACUUUGUCUCAUUUCCAUUCCGGGUAUUUUUCUGAAUUUUCUACAGCCUUGCUAAUUACCUGUAUUUUUUACUGCGGUGAAAAUUAGCAACAAUUCAUGGGCAACUUCGGUUAUUUGCAAAGCUUUGGUGGUGCGACUUUGUUAUGGAUUUAUUGCAGAUUGGUUCAGGUUAGAAUGCCCUCUAAUUUCGACAUACACAUAAGCAACUUUGGUAAUAUAGCCAAGAAAAAUAGGAGUGGUUAAACUCCCUCUAUUCGAAGCUCGUAACAGAAGUUUCGCGGGAUAUCCACAACUGGUUUUAGGAAUGGGAGAAGCUCCAACAAAUUCCUCAGAGUCAUGAAUGCAGAUAUGAAUGUGACGGUACUCAUGUAAAAGAAUAUGGCGAGUGCAACAAUGAAAUACGCCAAGUACUGCCUGUAUUCUUAAUUUUCAAAUCAGGCCAUAGUAAUUGACAGGGUUCAAGAGCAUCGAAAACCAACCAUCUAUCAACCGUUUGUGCAUGUAAACUCUGAGACGCAAAUAUUGUAACCACCCUGUUUGAAAGAAAAUGAUAGCAGCAUUUUAUUGCUUCUGGUUUAGCAGUUGUUUUUGAAGCUGCAUAAACUGCUUCGUCACGGGCAAGGUUCGUCUUAUAUCAUUCCAUAUCUUGUUCACCUCUUUGUUGUCUGUUAUAAUCAUAGACCUGAAAAAUGCUUUGCUGUGAAUGAUUUUAGUUUCAUAAUUUUCAUGCUUGUUUUUUGAUGUACCCUGGCCUUGUUUGGAUUUGUUGCUGCAGGAUAAUGACGGCAUGAUGCACUACAUGAGUUAGCUCGGGUCCAAGGGCCGUUUUGGAACUGUUUUGAAGUUUUGGUGCUCAUUAUUUUUGUUCAAGUUCCUUGUUUACUUCACUCAUCUCUGUAAUUUACACUGAUUUUCUGCUUCAGUUCCAUCAACAAGUCCUGUUAACUCGAUUUCUACUAACCUGCCGGAAGGAAUUUGGCCUGAGACUCAGUGUCUUCUAUUUGAUACUGUUUGAUAUUUGCUUGCUUGCUGCUGAUAUCACUGUGGUUAAUAUUGUGCAGGAAGUUGAAGAUCCAAUGGCUUUUUCCAAUUUUCUUACAUUUGGACUCAGGUAGUUUUUUAAAGAUCUCCGGUUUACAAUUGAAGCACGAGUAGACAAGAAUGAUGCCUGUUUAUCCCUUUUACAUUAGUUCCCUCUGUUUUUGGUAAAUACAGUGGAGUUCACGAAUCUGGUCCUUAAAUAUGGUUUCCUGUGAAUUCCAUCAAGUAUCCAAUCAAUGCCAUAACCUGUACUUUCUGUAGCAUCGCCUGGAAUGCUAGUCUGCUGCCUGUUGUUUUUGUGUAUUGUUUUUUUUUUGUUAUGAUAUUUAACAGUUGUUGUUGGUGCCAUAUUCGACUGACAAUAUUGCCUUGUGAAUUGGUAGGUUCGUCUUGUCACAAUUUCGGCAUUAACAUGAUGUUCUCUUUUGCUUCUAGGCUCAAAAGGGGCGGUCGGAAGGACUUGAAGCUGAAUUAACAAAAAUCAUGUCUUGUAGUUCACACCAUGCCGACAUUCAUUUACGGUAGGCUUCUUCUUUGCUCAUGCCAUCUUAGUGCAUCGAAACUUGGUAAAUUUACGCAGUAAUUCGUUGUGUUUGAUGUUGCAGGAGGACAUGCUGAGUUUGUGGGCGUAAAGGCCCAUGGUAUUCAUUAGGAGGAAUUCGCAUGGUUAUGAAUGGCCUUGAGUUGGUGUGUGUGUGUGUAGUUUGUUGUUGUAGCAUGGCUUGUGAUGGAGAAGCAUGAGGUGGUUUGAGUGAAAAUAAAAGGGUGAGUUGAACUUUUAAUGAAAAAUGUUCCUGUCAUGAAAAAAUCAGAUGCAGGUUGAAUGUACUUUUAUUGGGAUUGUUUUUAUUGGCCUUUUCUCUAUUGCAAGUGGACUGAAUGGCUUGGUUUACAUUGGUAUUACAGGCGGACAUGGCAUGGUGAUGAAUUGGAAUGUUGUGGAUUAUGUUCAUGGAGGAUUGCUCGGAAGAGUUUGCUUAGACAUGUAAUUAUCGUAGUCUUUGUUGUGAUGUGAAUUGAAAAUGGACGUAUGCGAUGGUAAUUGAAUGUAAUUGGACAUGAAAAUGUAUGUAUGAAAAUGAGUUUGGAAAUGUUUGAAAGUCCAAUAUUAUUGAAUGUUAUGAAAUGAGUGUAUGUACUAUUUUGAUUUGAAAUGAGUUAUGGAUGGAAAAUGGAUUAUGUUUGUGAGA
rnacentral:lncRNA from 1 species